rnacentral:lncRNA from 1 species
UGUCCAGUAAAUAUUAUUUACGGUGGUCAGUUUAAAAAUGACGGAAACGGAGUCAGACCAGAGGCUAAAACUUUCAUUGAUUGUCUGAAACUUUGUAGAGACACUGCUUCGUGCUAUUCUACCAACUUCGACGUGACCACAUCCAGAUGUUACUUGAAUCCCGAUAAUUCCACCAGCGCCUAUAUCACAAUAACAAGCAAUAAUUGGAUAAGCACUGAGGUCGAUAGAUACAAGUUUGACAACGACCCAAAUAUUUUGUCAGAUUUAAAUGGAUUGGGAUGUGAUGUGAAAUUCUUAUACUUUCUCCAUUUCAUACAGGAGAGACGCAACGACGCUACAGAGAGGGGUGCUCGUUUCUCCAAGCGACAGAAUACAUUUGGUGACAUAAAGUUAAAAACAGUCACUCCUACUGGCAGCUUUUAUGACUGUGCUAUCAAAUGUAUCACAUCUCCGGAAUGUUUGGGGAUCAAAUAUGAAUUAUUCUGCCAAAUGGCAGUAAAGUAUUGAAGUUCCAGAGAAUUCUGUGAAACCCAUUCUUCACACACAAGCAC